rnacentral:rRNA from 1 species
UACAGAGGGUGCAAGCGUUGCUCGGAUUUACUGGGCGUAAAGCGUACGCAGACGGUUUGGAAGGUCGGACGUGAAAGCCCCGGGCUCAACCCGGGAAAUGCGUCCGAAACCACCCUACUUGAGUAUGGGAGAGGGAAGCGGAAUUCCUGGUGUAGAGGUGAAAUUCGUAGAUAUCAGGAGGAACAUCGGCGGCGAAGGCGGCUUCCUGGCCCAUUACUGACGUUCAGGUACGAAAGCGUGGGUAGCAAACAGG